rnacentral:rRNA from 1 species
GACGAACGCUGGCGGCGUGCUUAACACAUGCAAGUCGAACGGAAAGGCCCUGCUUUUGUGGGGUGCUCGAGUGGCGAACGGGUGAGUAACACGUGAGUAACCUGCCCUUGACUUUGGGAUAACUUCAGGAAACUGGGACUAAUACCGGAUAGGAGCUCCUGCUGCAUGGUGGGGGUUGGAAAGUUUCGGCGGUUGGGGGUGGACUCGCGGCUUAUCAGCUUGUUGGUGGGGUAGUGGCUUACCAAGGCUUUGACGGGUAGCCGGCCUGAGAGGGUGACCGGCCACAUUGGGACUGAGAUACGGCCCAGACUCCUACGGGAGGCAGCAGUGGGGAAUAUUGCACAAUGGGCGGAAGCCUGAUGCAGCAACGCCGCGUGCGGGAUGACGGCCUUCGGGUUGUAAACCGCUUUCGCCUGUGACGAAGCGUGAGUGACGGUAAUGGGUAAAGAAGCACCGGCUAACUACGUG